rnacentral:rRNA from 1 species
UACAGAGGAUGCAAGCGUUAUCCGGAAUGAUUGGGCGUAAAGCGUCUGUAGGUGGCUUUUUAAGUCCGCCGUCAAAUCCCAGGCUCAACUCUGGACAGGCGGUGGAAACUACCAAGCUGGAGUACGGUAGGGGCAGAGGGAAUUUCCGGUGGAGCGAUGAAAUGCGUAGAGAUCGGAAGAACACCAACGGCGAAAGCACUCUGCUGGGCCGACACUGACACUGAGAGACGAAAGCUAGGGGAGCGAAUGGG